CCUAGAAGAUAGGGUUUUCCAAAUUUGAGCUCAUUUUCUUUCUCCACAUAUCGCCGCUUGGAGUGGUAUGAAGUCCAACCUUCAUCUUCUUUGCCAUGUUAACCCUGUUUCUCAGCUUGCAAAGAGACAUAAUCCGGUGGAACAAGAAUCUCAGAAGUGGUUUCAAUAAAGGAGCCUGGUAUUGUGGUAGCUCGCAACUCUCUUGCAAAAUUUCAGGUUUGAGGAUAACUUUUUAGCAGCUACAAAGAGAAAAAUUUAGAAGGAAAUUUUGAGAUUUAUUCGUAUAUUGCAAUAUCAUUUUUACAGAACAUUGAGAAGAGUUUGUCAAAAUCAGGAGCUGAGAAUGCGGGAAGGACAAUGGAAAAAAAAAUUGAUUCAGUAAACAUCCGGUGCGGGUAAGUUUUAUCCUUACAUUGAAUGUGUAGAAAACGUUUAUUAUUUACUAUAUUUAUAUCAUGAAAUGUUUUCAAACAUAAUCCCAUCAAUUACUUGAGUAAAUUAACAAAAACGUUUAGAAAGUGAAAUUAAUCUCAUAGAACCCAAUUAAAUGUAGCAAUCAAAUGUAAUAAAGUCUAAUUACACUUUUUUUUGUCAUAUUUCACAUUUUAAGUGCAAUAACGUUCUCAAUAGAAAUAUGCAAAUGCUUAUUAAUUAGUUA